rnacentral:rRNA from 1 species
CGCGUAGGCGGUCUCUAAAGUCAGAGGUGAAAGCCCGGGGCUUAACCCCGGAAGUGCAUUUGAAACGUAGGGACUUGAGUAUGGGAGAGGGAAGUGGAAUUCCUGGUGUAGCGGUGAAAUGCGUAGAUAUCAGGAGGAACACCAGUGGCGAAGGCGACUUCCUGGACCAAUACUGACGCUGAGGCGCGAAGGCGUGGGGAGCAAACAGGAUUAGAUACCCUGGUAGUCC